rnacentral:rRNA from 1 species
AUGCUACGGUGAAUACGUUCCCGGGUCUUGUACACACCGCCCGUCACACCACGAGAGUUUGUAACACCCGAAGCCGGUGGAGUAACCUUUUAUUAGGAGCUAGCCGUCGAAGGUGGGACAGAUGAUUGGGGUGAAGUCGUAACAAGGUAGCCGUAUCGGAAGGUGCGGCUGGAUCACCUCCUUU